GCCAGCAUCUAUGGUGAGAGUCAGUUGCCAUGGCCCGAAGGAGAGUUUUACAGACAAGGAUGGUCCUUGUAGGUCCUGCAACAGACCCAGAGGAUAGUCAUCACAGUGUUGAAGAGGCUGCACCCUUGCCUGUGUCUGAGCCUGCCCAUAAGUUCCAGCCUGGAGACUUGGUGUAGGUAAAGAGAAUCUCAACCCAAAACAGCAAUGAAGGUCACCAAUGUCACCCUGUGGAGCCACCACACCUAGCCAAAAAAGGCUACAGAAGAUAAUGACAGAUGGAUCAUCACAAGUCCUCUGACCCCCCCCCCCAAAGAAGCCUGACAUGAGCCCUAUAA